rnacentral:rRNA from 1 species
UACGUAGGGGGCAAGCGUUGUCCGGAAUUAUUGGGCGUAAAGCGCGCGUAGGCGGCCAGAUAAGUCCGCUGUGAAAUCUCGAGGCUCAACUUCGAGCUGUCGGUGGAAACUAUCUGGCUAGAGUCCGGAAGAGGAGAAUGGAAUUCCUGGUGUAGCGGUGAAAUGCGCAGAUAUCAGGAAGAACACCCGUGGCGAAAGCGGCUCUCUGGAACGGUACUGACGCUGAGGAGCGAAAGCGUGGGUAGCAAACAGG